rnacentral:rRNA from 1 species
AAAUUGAAGAGUUUGAUCAUGGCUCAGAUUGAACGCUGGCGGCAGGCCUAACACAUGCAAGUCGAACGGUAGCACAGAGAGCUUGCUCUCGGGUGACGAGUGGCGGACGGGUGAGUAAUGUCUGGGAAACUGCCUGAUGGAGGGGGAUAACUACUGGAAACGGUGGCUAAUACCGCAUAACGUCGCAAGACCAAAGAGGGGGACCUUCGGGCCUCUUGCCAUCAGAUGUGCCCAGAUGGGAUUAGCUAGUUGGUGAGGUAACGGCUCACCAAGGCGACGAUCCCUAGCUGGUCUGAGAGGAUGACCAGCCACACUGGAACUGAGACACGGUCCAGACUCCUACGGGAGGCAGCAGUGGGGAAUAUUGCACAAUGGGCGCAAGCCUGAUGCAGCCAUGCCGCGUGUAUGAAGAAGGCCUUCGGGUUGUAAAGUACUUUCAGCGGGGAGGAAGGUGUUGUGGUUAAUAACCACAGCAAUUGACGUUACCCGCAGAAGAAGCACCGGCUAACUCCGUGCCAGCAGCCGCGGUAAUACGGAGGGUGCAAGCGUUAAUCGGAAUUACUGGGCGUAAAGCGCACGCAGGCGGUCUGUCAAGUCGGAUGUGAAAUCC